rnacentral:rRNA from 1 species
GUAGGGAAUCUUCCACAAUGGGCGAAAGCCUGAUGGAGCAACGCCGCGUGAGUGAAGAAGGUUUUCGGAUCGUAAAACUCUGUUGUAAGGGAAGAACAAGUACAGUAGUAACUGGCUGUACCUUGACGGUACCUUAUUAGAAAGCCACGGCUAACUACGUGCCAGCAGCCGCGGUAAUACGUAGGUGGCAAGCGUUGUCCGGAAUUAUUGGGCGUAAAGCGCGCGCAGGCGGUCCUUUAAGUCUGAUGUGAAAGCCCUCGGCUCAACCGAGGAGGGUCAUUGGAAACUGGAGGACUUGAGUGCAGAAGAGGAAAGUGGAAUUCCAAGUGUAGCGGUGAAAUGCGUAGAGAUUUGGAGGAACACCAGUGGCGAAGGCGACUUUCUGGUCUGUAACUGACGCUGAGGCGCGAAAGCGUGGGGAGCAAACAGGAUUAGAUACCCUGGUAGUCCACGCCGUAAACGAUGAGUGCUAAGUGUUAGGGGGUUUCCGCCCCUUAGUGCUGCAGCUAACGCAUUAAGCACUCCGCCUGGGGAGUACGGUCGCAAGAC